rnacentral:misc_RNA from 1 species
AACACUGCACUAGUCUCAAAUCUGUCAAAGUAGUUCGACUUAAUAGGCCCAGUGACAAAAUUUACUUGUGAAAUUGAACAAAUUAUUAUUAUCGGUUUCACUUAAGCAAGGAUAUCGAUUUCCUUAUGUAAUAUGGAAAGCUGUUGGUGAAAUGACACAAUUAAAAAAAACUUACGCUUGAAGGAUUUAUUAACGAGAACGUUUACGAAAUAAAGAAAUUGGUCGCCCUGCUGAAAUUAAAUAUCGAACAGUAAUACAACGUUAUUUGUAGGCGAACUAAAUGGAAAUGGUUUCGACGACUGUUCCGUCAAACACCAAAUGCUGAGUUGAUAAGGUUGACGAAGAGGUAUGAAGAUGAUGAAUCUCGUCAAUAAUAUACUUAAGAUUUGCAA